AUUAUGGGUACAGUAGAACACAAUUAAAGGAGUUUUCACAAGAAUAGCAAUGUGAUUCUGUCUACAUUGUUAAAGAAUCACUUUGUCUAUUGCAUGCAGAAUGGACCAUGGACAUCAGACACAGAGGCAGGGAGAUAAGAAGCUGUGUGCAGUUGUGCAGGAAAGAGAUGAUUGUACCUGGACUACAGUGAUAGAAGCAGAGAUGGGAAAACAAAGGGAGAGUUUAGACAAGCAUUAAAGGUGAAGUUCAUAGUAGUUGUUUGGUUGUAGUCAGUGAGGAAAAUUAUACAUUCAGAAAUGACUCCUGGAAUUUUGGCUUAACGAAUUAGUGUGGGUGGAUGAUAUUGCUAUUUACAGAAAUGACCUCUUGACCUCCAUCUCCACAUUUCCUCCCAGCCUCUACACCUCCAUGUGCUGUUCUCUCUGUGGACAUGUCUCUGGCUACCUGAAGGCAUCCAGCAUGUGAAAAAACAACUCAGACCACACAUUUUCCACCUAUGUUCUU
ensembl:lncRNA novel transcript